rnacentral:rRNA from 1 species
CCUACGGGUGGCAGCAGUAGGGAAUCUUCCACAAUGGGCGAAAGCCUGAUGGAGCAACGCCGCGUGGGUGAAGAAGGUCUUCGGAUCGUAAAACUCUGUUGUUAGAGAAGAAAGUGCGUGAGAGUAACUGCUCACUUUUCGAUAGUACCCUUCCAGAAAGUCACGGCUAACUACGUGCCAGCAGCCGCGGUAAUACGUAGGUGGCAAGCGUUAUCCGGAAUUAUUGGGCGUAAAGGGUACGUAGGCGGCCUUGUAAGUCUGGGGUGAAAGGGUUCGGGGUAACCGGGGUAGUGCAUUGGAAACUGGGAGACUUGAGAGCAGGAGAGGAGAGUGGAACUCCAUGUGUAGCGGUGAAAUGCGUAGAUAUAUGGAAGAACACCAGUGGCGAAGGCGGCUGUCUGGUCUGUAACUGACGCUGAGGUUCGAAAGCGUGGGGAGCAAACAGGAUUAGAUACCCGUGUAGUC